rnacentral:tRNA from 1 species
GGGCGCGUAGCUCAGUUGGCUAGAGCGCUUCCUUGACGUGGAAGAGGUCGGGGAUUCGAGUUCCUCCGCGCCCACCA